UGCCUUACCAUGCAAGUCGAACGGUAGAGUAGCAAUACUCGAGAGUGGCGAACGGGUGAGUAAUAUAUCGGAACGUGCCCAGUCGUGGGGGAUAACGUAAAGAAAUUUACGCUAAUACCGCAUACGAUCUAAGGAUGAAAGCGGGGGAUUCGCAAGAACCUCGCGCGAUUGGAGCGGCUGAUAUCAAAUUAGGUUGUUGGUGAGGUAAAAGCUCACCAAGCCGACAAUCUGUAGCUGGUUUGAGAGAACGACCAGCCACACUGGGACUGAGACACGGCCCAAACUCCUACGGGAGGCAGCAGUGGGGAAUUUUGGACAAUGGGCGAAAGCCUGAUCCAGCAAUGCCGCGUGCAGGAAGAAGGCCUUCGGGUUGUAAACUGCUUUUGUACGGAACGAAAAAGCCUUUUCUAAUAAAGAGGGCUCAUGACGGUACCGUAAGAAUAGGCACCGGCUAACUACGUGCCAGCAGCCGCGGUAAUACGUAGGGUGCGAGCGUUAAUCGGAAUUACUGGGCGUAAAGCGUGCGCAGGCGGUUCUAUAAAACAGAUGUGAAAUCCCCGGGCUCAACCUGGGAACUGCAUUUGUGACUGCAUGGCUAGAGUACGGUAGAGGGGGAUGGAAUUCCGCGUGUAGCAGUGAAAUGCGUAGAUAUGCGGAGGA
rnacentral:rRNA from 1 species